rnacentral:lncRNA from 1 species
AGGAAAAAGCUCGAGAGCUAUAGCCGUGGCUUUGAAAUCCAGGUAGAGAGAGAGUGAUCUCUCAUCUCUGAGUGUAGACCUCAAGUAAAGAAAUAAGGCAGAGAAUAGCGUAAGAAAGUGCAGAGUAAGAAAAAGAAUAAAAGUAAGUAAGAGAAAAGUAAGCAAAGAAAAGAGUAAAUGAGAUAAGAUAGAGCAGAGAAAGAACAGAAUAGAAUAAAGGUAAAGUACGAAAGUGUAGAAGGAGAUUUCAGUUUAGUCUGGGAUUAGAUGGCGAGUGAGCUUUAGUUCAGAUAGUUCUGGAUCCGUGAGGCGUGGAGGUUACACAAAAGUAGUCUGAUGGUAUGGGACUACGGCAUGUAUAGAUGCGAGCAGAAAGGACUCAUAUUUUGUGAGCGUCCUACUGCGGCCCAGAUUGGCACAGUCCCAGCAGAUGACUUCGAGUAGUGUAACUCAGCCUAUUGCUCUAGCCAUGUUUCAGGACAGUGGUUGACGCAGGAGAAGAGAGUUCUCCUUUUCUUUGGUCGGUUCCCGAAGGAAGAUUC